UCCGUAGGCGGUUUAAUAAGUCAGUGGUGAAAUCUGGUCGCUCAACGAUCAAACUGCCAUUGAUACUGUUAGACUUGAAUUACUGUGAAGUAACUAGAAUAUGUAGUGUAGCGGUGAAAUGCAUAGAUAUUACAUGGAAUACCAAUUGCGAAGGCAAGGUACUACCAACAGAUUGACGCUGAUGGACGAAAGCGUGGGGAGCAAACAGGAUUAGAUACCCCCGUA
rnacentral:rRNA from 1 species